rnacentral:lncRNA from 1 species
GACACUUGGGGUUUCGGGGCAGCUACUUUUAUACUGAGAAAGGACGUUAGGGCUUCUGUUCAAUUUAAGGACAUAUGCCCUAAUUCUUAUCAUAUUACUUCUCUGUUGCUGUAUAACAAAUUUUCCCAAAAUUAUUGGCAUGAGACAAUACAUGUAUAUUAUCUCACAGAUUGUGUGGCAGCUGGGUCUUGCUCAGCAGGGUCUUUUGCAAGGCUUCAAUCAGGGUGUAGGCAGAGGCUGCAAGGUUCAACUCCAAGUUCAACUGGGGUGAAACUGGCUUCCAGGCUCACUCAGCGGUUGUUGGCAAGAUUCAGUUCUCCGUGGGCUGUUGGGUUGAAGGCAUCAGUUCCUAGGGGAUGUUGGCCAGAGUGCCCUCAGUCCUUGCCUGGAGGAGCUUUCAUCACAGCCCUGACCUGGUUGCUGUGUUGGGAAUAUACGUCUGCUGGAAGACUGGCUGCCCUGGAAUGCCUUACAACUCAAGAGGCACAGAGGGAGAAGAGAGCAUGUUUUGUGCAGUUUUGGGGAGUGUUAAAGGAGCACACGUUUAAAGCACCUGGCAUGGAACAGAUGGUUGAUCGAGUCAUCUUAGGCUGAUAUGAAGGGACUUCCCCGGCGGCUCCAGUGCUAAAGAGCCCACCUGCCGACGUAGGAAAAGCAAGAGAUGUGAGUCUAAUGCCUGAGUCGGGAAGAUCCCCUGGAGGAGGCCAUGGCAACCCACUCCGGUGUUCUUGCCUGGAGAACCCCGUGGACAGAGGAGCCUGGUGGGCCACAGCCCACGGGACCGCAGAGUCGGGCGCAACUAAAGCAGCCGAGCACGCAUGCGUGCGGGCUGAUACAAAAAGAAAAGAAAAGAAAAGGGGGGAACGAAAGGCAGGCUUUGGAAGAAGGGCAGUGAAGCCCCAGAAGGAGACCCACUCACGCGAGCCCCAGAUCCGCGGCCCCUGAGCCUGGGCUGGGGCCGAGGCCCCGUGUCCGCCCCUUGUCAUUUCUCUCCACUUUCCCUCUCUGCUGUCUCCUGCCCCAGCCGCUCCACUGAACACCAGAGUCACGUGAACUGACCGGCCCGGAACCAGGCCUGGCAUCAGAAGGAGGAGGGCUGAAGUUCUCCCUGGUGGCUCUAAAAGUCGUUUUCCCUAAGGUUUCUGAUUUAUGGGAUGAGCUGCUCGAAUACUUAUCAAAUCGUUUCUCACUCUUGUCCAGGCUCCCUACUUCCAUGCCUCUGUGGACGAUCAACGUCAGUGUGGGCCACGUAGACUAGAGCCCAAGAGGCCUUGGAACUUUCCCCUUAGCCUUGCUUUUCUUUCUUCGUGAUCGGAGGAUCUUAAACGCGAAGACGUUUCCGCCACAACCUGGUCCAAUUUAGUUCAACACUGGCCUUGGCCAAUGUGCAUAGAGCACCUCUGCCCACCUGGCUUAUAAUUUCCUUCAGAAUCCCAGUUGCUCUGCUGUGGACCCGUCUCUCAACUCUCCUGAGCCCCCUGUGUGGUCCUUUGGCUUCUGUGAGUUAUGACAUCACAGGAAUGUAUCCCUUUGGUUGUCUUUGAAGUUUCAUGAAGCCAGAAGGGGGAGGAAGAAAGAAGGAUGCCCUGACCUGCCAGCAUUCCCUAAGACAGGUUAUUUCCUAUUUUUAAGAAUUGUGAGUGACUGUGAAGAUGGAUGGUAAUUGAAAGAAAACAAUGAAUUAAUAGCCAGAAGCAUAUUAAUAGGUCAAGGGACUAAUUCAUUUAGUGGAAAGGUUAAUUAAUUGGAUGUGUGUGUGAUAAAGACAUCUUAAGGUGACAUUUCAGUUGACGGUCACAUCCUCACACUAGCGAGGAGGGUAAGAGAGUGUGCUCCAUCAGAGGAUUUCAACUCGGCACCCUGCUGAACCCUGACUGACUCUACACUAACCGGGGUAAGCAGAUGAGCAGUUUGCAGAGGGUCUUUGCGGGGAGGAAGCAAUGACCUUCUAGCUAUUAAGUGACGGCUUACUUACCCUGAACCCCAGCCAUAUGACUUACUGCUGCUGCUGCCUGAGAACAUUUGCAGUAAAAGAAACAAAGACAUGGUCGAGCCCUCUCUUCUAUGGAUUGAAACGAAUCUGUCGCACGUGUUAAUUGUACAGAAAAGACUUGCUCCCAUUAUAGGAAUUUUAAGCCACCCAAGAAGAUGUGUAUGGACCCAGGAGUCAUUCAUAACAUUCUUACAUAGACUGCAAAUCCUGUGAAGAACUCCAUACGAUAAAGGUUUCUUUACAUAAAACAAUAAAUCAGUG